GGUUAAGCGACUAAGCGUACACGGUGGAUGCCCUGGCAGUCAGAGGCGAUGAAGGACGUGCUAAUCUGCGAUAAGCGUCGGUAAGGUGAUAUGAACCGUUAUAACCGGCGAUUUCCGAAUGGGGAAACCCAGUGUGAUUCGUCACACUAUCAUUAACUGAAUCCAUAGGUUAAUGAGGCGAACCGGGGGAACUGAAACAUCUAAGUACCCCGAGGAAAAGAAAUCAACCGAGAUUCCCCCAGUAGCGGCGAGCGAACGGGGAGCAGCCCAGAGCCUGAAUCAGUGUGUGUGUUAGUGGAAGCGUCUGGAAAGGCGCGCGAUACAGGGUGACAGCCCCGUACACAAAAAUGCACAUGCUGUGAGCUCGAUGAGUAGGGCGGGACACGUGGUAUCCUGUCUGAAUAUGGGGGGACCAUCCUCCAAGGCUAAAUACUCCUGACUGACCGAUAGUGAACCAGUACCGUGAGGGAAAGGCGAAAAGAACCCCGGCGAGGGGAGUGAAAAAGAACCUGAAACCGUGUACGUACAAGCAGUGGGAGCACAGAGCAAUCUGUGUGACUGCGUACCUUUUGUAUAAUGGGUCAGCGACUUAUAUUCUGUAGCAAGGUUAACCGAAUAGGGGAGCCGAAGGGAAACCGAGUCUUAACUGGGCGUUAAGUUGCAGGGUAUAGACCCGAAACCCGGUGAUCUAGCCAUGGGCAGGUUGAAGGUUGGGUAACACUAACUGGAGGACCGAACCGACUAAUGUUGAAAAAUUAGCGGAUGACUUGUGGCUGGGGGUGAAAGGCCAAUCAAACCGGGAGAUAGCUGGUUCUCCCCGAAAGCUAUUUAGGUAGCGCCUCGUGAAUUCAUCUCCGGGGGUAGAGCACUGUUUCGGCAAGGGGGUCAUCCCGACUUACCAACCCGAUGCAAACUGCGAAUACCGGAGAAUGUUAUCACGGGAGACACACGGCGGGUGCUAACGUCCGUCGUGAAGAGGGAAACAACCCAGACCGCCAGCUAAGGUCCCAAAGUCAUGGUUAAGUGGGAAACGAUGUGGGAAGGCCCAGACAGCCAGGAUGUUGGCUUAGAAGCAGCCAUCAUUUAAAGAAAGCGUAAUAGCUCACUGGUCGAGUCGGCCUGCGCGGAAGAUGUAACGGGGCUAAACCAUGCACCGAAGCUGCGGCAGCGACGCUGAUGCGUUGUUGGGUAGGGGAGCGUUCUGUAAGCCUGUGAAGGUGUGCUGUGAGGCAUGCUGGAGGUAUCAGAAGUGCGAAUGCUGACAUAAGUAACGAUAAAGCGGGUGAAAAGCCCGCUCGCCGGAAGACCAAGGGUUCCUGUCCAACGUUAAUCGGGGCAGGGUGAGUCGACCCCUAAGGCGAGGCCGAAAGGCGUAGUCGAUGGGAAACAGGUUAAUAUUCCUGUACUUGGUGUUACUGCGAAGGGGGGACGGAGAAGGCUAUGUUGGCCGGGCGACGGUUGUCCCGGUUUAAGCGUGUAGGCUGGUUUUCCAGGCAAAUCCGGAAAAUCAAGGCUGAGGCGUGAUGACGAGGCACUACGGUGCUGAAGCAACAAAUGCCCUGCUUCCAGGAAAAGCCUCUAAGCAUCAGGUAACAUCAAAUCGUACCCCAAACCGACACAGGUGGUCAGGUAGAGAAUACCAAGGCGCUUGAGAGAACUCGGGUGAAGGAACUAGGCAAAAUGGUGCCGUAACUUCGGGAGAAGGCACGCUGAUAUGUAGGUGAAGUCCCUCGCGGAUGGAGCUGAAAUCAGUCGAAGAUACCAGCUGGCUGCAACUGUUUAUUAAAAACACAGCACUGUGCAAACACGAAAGUGGACGUAUACGGUGUGACGCCUGCCCGGUGCCGGAAGGUUAAUUGAUGGGGUCAGCGCAAGCGAAGCUCUUGAUCGAAGCCCCGGUAAACGGCGGCCGUAACUAUAACGGUCCUAAGGUAGCGAAAUUCCUUGUCGGGUAAGUUCCGACCUGCACGAAUGGCGUAAUGAUGGCCAGGCUGUCUCCACCCGAGACUCAGUGAAAUUGAACUCGCUGUGAAGAUGCAGUGUACCCGCGGCAAGACGGAAAGACCCCGUGAACCUUUACUAUAGCUUGACACUGAACAUUGAGCCUUGAUGUGUAGGAUAGGUGGGAGGCUUUGAAGUGUGGACGCCAGUCUGCAUGGAGCCGACCUUGAAAUACCACCCUUUAAUGUUUGAUGUUCUAACGUUGACCCGUGAUCCGGGUUGCGGACAGUGUCUGGUGGGUAGUUUGACUGGGGCGGUCUCCUCCUAAAGAGUAACGGAGGAGCACGAAGGUUGGCUAAUCCUGGUCGGACAUCAGGAGGUUAGUGCAAUGGCAUAAGCCAGCUUGACUGCGAGCGUGACGGCGCGAGCAGGUGCGAAAGCAGGUCAUAGUGAUCCGGUGGUUCUGAAUGGAAGGGCCAUCGCUCAACGGAUAAAAGGUACUCCGGGGAUAACAGGCUGAUACCGCCCAAGAGUUCAUAUCGACGGCGGUGUUUGGCACCUCGAUGUCGGCUCAUCACAUCCUGGGGCUGAAGUAGGUCCCAAGGGUAUGGCUGUUCGCCAUUUAAAGUGGUACGCGAGCUGGGUUUAGAACGUCGUGAGACAGUUCGGUCCCUAUCUGCCGUGGGCGCUGGAGAACUGAGGGGGGCUGCUCCUAGUACGAGAGGACCGGAGUGGACGCAUCACUGGUGUUCGGGUUGUCAUGCCAAUGGCACUGCCCGGUAGCUAAAUGCGGAAGAGAUAAGUGCUGAAAGCAUCUAAGCACGAAACUUGCCCCGAGAUGAGUUCUCCCUGACUCCUUGAGAGUCCUGAAGGAACGUUGAAGACGACGACGUUGAUAGGCCGGGUGUGUAAGCGCAGCGAUGCGUUGAGCUAACCGGUACUAAUGAACCGUGAGGCUUAACCUU
rnacentral:rRNA from 1 species